rnacentral:rRNA from 1 species
AUAUCCUCAUAAGUUAGACGACAAGAGGUACCAUUUAUGAUUUUUAUUAUUAAGGCCUUUUUUUAUCUCUUCCAUCUUGCAAAAAAGGUGGGGAAAGAGGUAAGAGUGAAGGAGAUAUUAUAAUUGAUAGAUAAAUGGUGGCACAGAAUCGGAGGCCCCGACUGUUUACUAAAAACACAACACAGUGCAAUCAUUAAUAUGGUAGUAUACUGUGUGAAAUUUGCCCAAUGCCAUUAAUAUAAAAGCGGUCAUGGGAAACUGUGACUAAUUGAAAAUCUGGUUAAUAGCGGUCUUAACCAUGAGGAUCCUAAGGUAGCAAAAUAAAUUGGCCAUUAAAUGUGGUCUGGUAUCAAUAAUGUAACGAUGGCCUCACUGUCUCUACAACUUGCUCAGUGAAAUUGAAUUACGCGUGCAGAUGCGCGUUACCUCCAGUGGGACGGGAAGACCCUAU